AUAGGGCUAGCCACCUGUCUAUCAUUGUUAAGUUUUGGUUCCGCCCCUUUCCCCAGGGCCAUGGGAAGAGAGGGAGCCAUUUUUAGUUCAGUCUUAUAGUGGAAAGCUAAGCUACAGGACAUGGAUUAGCUCCAUCCAUAGAAAAGCUUCAUUUCCUACAGCAUCCGGGGCAGAAAUUCCGGGGGGAAACAGUCCCAAAGCUCUGGCUGGGAGCUUACAGCCUCUCAGCUUUACAGCAUCUGAGGGAAACAGUCCUAAAGUUUCAGAAGAAAACAGUUUUACAGACCCAAAGAACUCCAGCUGGAGAAUCUACAUAGCCUUGACUGGUAGGUCUACUCGGGACCCAAGACACAGAUUGGAACCGGUAGUAGAACCCACAUCAGCAAAGCUUAGACAGUAGAUUGCCUGGGAGGGGUUAAAAAAGGGUUUUCCUUGUUAAAGAAAGAAAUAGUUCUCCAAGCAAGGUACCUGUCCAUUUUGGGGCAAGUUAAGCAUUUGUUUAAUCUGUUGAAGAUCCAAGAAGUGUUUGUUGUUUUAUUGAAGACCUAAGCAAUAAUAAAGAACUUUGUUAAACA